GGCUCAGAACGAACGCUGGCGGCGUGGAUAAGACAUGCAAGUCGAACGAGAGAAUCGCUAGCUUGCUAAUAAUUCUCUAGUGGCGCACGGGUGAGUAACACGUGAGUAACCUGCCCCCGAGAGCGGGAUAGCCCUGGGAAACUGGGAUUAAUACCGCAUAGUAUCGAAAGAUUAAAGCAGCAAUGCGCCUGGGGAUGGGCUCGCGGCCUAUUAGUUAGUUGGUGAGGUAACGGCUCACCAAGGCGAUGACGGGUAGCCGGUCUGAGAGGAUGUCCGGCCACACUGGAACUGAGACACGGUCCAGACACCUACGGGUGGCAGCAGUCGAGAAUCAUUCACAAUGGGGGAAACCCUGAUGGUGCGACGCCGCGUGGGGGAACGAAGGUCUUCGGAUUGUAAACCCCUGUCAUGUGGGAGCAAAUUAAAAAGAUAGUACCACAAGAGGAAGAGACGGCUAACUCUGUGCCAGCAGCCGCGGUAAUACAGAGGUCUCAAGCGUUGUUCGGAAUCACUGGGCGUAAAGCGUGCGUAGGCUGUUUCGUAAGUCGUGUGUGAAAGGCGCGGGCUCAACCCGCGGACGGCACAUGAUACUGCGAGA
rnacentral:rRNA from 1 species